AUUGAACGCUGGCGGCAGGCCUAACACAUGCAAGUCGAGCGGAUGAAGAGAGCUUGCUCUCUGAUUUAGCGGCGGACGGGUGAGUAAUGCCUAGGAAUCUGCCUGGUAGUGGGGGAUAACGUUCCUAACGGAACGCUACUACCUCGUACGUCCUACGUGCGCAAGCAGGACAACUUCGGACCUUGCGCUGUCAGAUGACCUUAGUUCGGAUUAGCUAGUGGGGGAGGUAAUGGCUCACCAAGGCGACGAUCCGUAACUGGUCUGGGAGGAUGAUCAGGCACACUGGAACUGAGACACGGUCCAGACUCCUACGGGAGGCAGCAGUGGGGAAUAUUGGACAAUGGGCGAAAGCCUGAUCCAGCCAUGCCGCGUGUGUGAAGAAGGUCUUCGGAUUGUAAAGCACUUUAAGUUGGGAGGAAGGGCAGUAAGUUAAUCCCUUGCUGUUUUGACGUUACCGACAGAAUAAGCACCGGCUAACUUCGUGCCAGCCGCCGCCGUAACAC
rnacentral:rRNA from 1 species